GACGAACGCUGGCAGCGUGCUUAACACAUGCAAGUCGAACGGAAAGGCCCUGCUUUUGUGGGGUGCUUGAGUGGCGAACGGGUGAGUAACACGUGAGUAACCUGCCCUUGACUUUGGGAUAACUUCAGGAAACUGGGGCUAAUACCGGAUAGGAGCUCCUGCUGCAUGGUGGGGGUUGGAAAGUUUCGGCGGUUGGGGAUGGACUCGCGGCUUAUCAGCUUGUUGGUGGGGUAGUGGCUUACCAAGGCUUUGACGGGUAGCCGGCCUGAGAGUGUGACCGGCCACAUUGGGACUGAGAUACGGCCCAGACUCCUACGGGAGGCAGCAGUGGGGAAUAUUGCACAAUUGGCGGAAGCCUGAUGCAGCAACGCGGCGUGCGGGAUGACGGCCUUCGGGUUGUAAACCGCUUUCGCCUGUGACGAAGCGUGAGUGACGGUAAGGGGUAAAGAAGCACCGGCUAACUACGUGC
rnacentral:rRNA from 1 species